rnacentral:rRNA from 1 species
CGCAAACUUUUUUUUCGAUAUGAACUCUAAAAAAAAAUAACGCUGUUAUCCCUAAGGUAAUUUAAUCUUAUAAUCAUAAAUUAUGGAUCAUUUAUUCAUAUAUCAAUGUUUUAAUAUAAAAAAAGUUAAUUUAAUUUUUUAGUUGCCCCAACUAAAUAUUUAUAUAAAUACUUAAAUCUAAAAUACUUAAACUUUCAAAUAUAAAUAUAAAUAUAAAAUUCUAUAGGGUCUUCUCGUCUUUUAAAAUUAUUUAAGCUUUUUUACUUAAAAAUAAAAUUCUAAUUUAAAUUAAAUUGAGACAGCUUUUCUCUCGUCAAACCCUUCAUACCAGUUCUCAAUUAAAAAACUAAUUAUUAUGCUACCUUUGCACGGUCAAAAUACCGCGGCCAUUUAAAAAUAUUAUUCAUAGGGCAGGUCAGACUUUAUAUUAUUAUCAAAAAGACAU